UCAACCUAAAUGACAACACCUU
rnacentral:misc_RNA from 1 species